rnacentral:rRNA from 1 species
GACGAACGCUGGCGGCGUGCCUAAUACAUGCAAGUUGAGCGCUGAAGGUUGGUAUUUGUACUAACUGGAUGAGCAGCGAACGGGUAAGUAACGCGUGGGGUAUCCGCCUUUGAGCGGGGGACAACAUUUGGAAACGAAUGCUAAUACCGCAUAAAAACUUUAAACACAAGGUUUAAGAUUGAAAGAUGCAAUGGCAUCACUCAAAGAUGAUCCCGCGUUGUGUUAGCUAGUUGGUGAGGUAAAGGCUCACCAAGGCGGUGAUAUAUAGCCGACCUGAGAGGGUGGUCGGCCACAUUGGGGGUGAGACACGGCCCGUACUCCUGGGGGAGGGAGCAGAAGCGAAUGUUCGGCAAUGGACGAGAGUCUGGCAGAGUAGGGCCGCGUGAGAGAAGACGGCUUCCGGUUGGUGAUACUCUCUUGCGGGGUAAGAACGUCGGUCAGAGUGGAAAGCUCAUCAUGUGACGGUAACUAGACAGAAAGGAACGGCUAACUACGCG